rnacentral:rRNA from 1 species
GGACUACCGGGGUUUCUAAUCCUGUUUGCUCCCCACGCUUUCGCGCCUCAGCGUCAGUCUCGGUCCAGAGAGCCGCCUUCGCCACCGGUGUUCUUCCCAAUAUCUACGAAUUUCACCUCUACACUGGGAAUUCCACUCUCCUCUCCCGAACUCCAGCGCCCCAGUCCCAAGCGCAAUUCCCAGGUUGAGCCCGGGGCUUUCACGCCUGACUUGGAGCGCCGCCUACGCGCCCUUUACGCCCAGUAAUUCCGAACAACGCUAGCCCCCUUCGUAUUACCGCGGCUGCUGGCAC